rnacentral:lncRNA from 1 species
GCCUGAUUGACAGUCAGUGCGAUUUUUUUGUGAUCGGAAAAAACGGAAAUCAGGUACCCGAAAAACGUGUUGAAUAUUCAUAUGUGUACAAAUUUAUUGAUUAGGUAAGAAAACAUAUUCAAAUACAUUACUAAACAAAAAUCUAACCAAACAGUUUGGGCUGCGAGAGUAUCGAUCAACCUAUCGAACCGGUUCUUAUUACAGAUUCAAAAAGUUUUUGUCUUUGUGUUGACUUUUUGGAUUCCAGGUGUUCGAAGUAUAUUUCGCCGUUUAUCUGUUACAAGCUUGAUAUAACAUUUUAAAAAAAGAAUCACACAAACAUAUUCUGACUUCUACUUAUAAUAUUUAUGCAACAAAACAUUCUGAGAAGUCCAAAAAUAAAUAUGCAACUUUGUUUACAAAUUUUCACCUGAAGCCGCCAUGUUUGAUUUCGAACUUACAGGUUGAGUAACUAAUUACUAAGCACAUCAGCUAAUGACAUAAGCACUAGUCAUUUGCUGUGCAGGUAUACACAAGACUAUCUUUAAUCUACCACAAACUGUAUGUAUUUUUUGUUCCAGCAUUAUAAUUUUAAGUUAAAGACGAUGUAUUUUAUAGGGGAGAAGUAAAUAGUGAAAUUAUCUCCCUUACUUACUCAGAAUAUUUUUUUCAUAAUGAAUACAGAUCUUCAUUUUUCAAUAGUUAGACCACACAAAAUUAAUACAGCAAAAGCACAGGCACUUGUCUCUGAGAAAGAAAUCCAUCAACUUUAUUAUAUUACAUGUACAAUGCACUUGGCUUACAUUUUUGGAAAUGACAAAUGGUUUUCAGUUUUCCUUCAUAUUUUGAUUUUGGUAAACGGACAGAAAGUCACAGGACAUAAAGUCACAAAUUUGAUAGGACAAAAAGUCAUAAAUAUUUUUUUGACAAUUGUUUGGAUAUAUAUAAGAGAAAUAUCUUGAAAUAUUUACUUUUUAAUACAUAUAUUCAUAUUAAGUUAAUGAAAUUUAUCAUUUUACUUGAAAAAGGAAGAUUUAUUUAGUUUUAAUCAUGCAAAGGACAUAUUUCUUGGCACCAUGAAGCCAUUUAAGUGCCAAUAUAUUUUGACAUUUUACAUUCUUUGACAUUUUUUGAUACAUUUUGCUUACAAAGUUGGUUAAUAUACCAUACUUCAAGAAAAAUACAAAAAUGUUUUUGUAAGAAUAAGCAUUUUUUAUUCAAAGAAAAUAAUCAGAAAAAAUGAAUUGUGACUUUUUGUCCGUGACUUUUUGUCCUGUGACUUUCUGUCCUACAUUCUUUGAUUAUACAGUUCAAGCAAUUGUCUAUACCACUUGAACUUAUUAUCCCAUAAAUCUACAUUGAAUUAUCUACAAAAGGGUGUAUAACAUACUUAUUCUAUGAUAGGAAUCAUUCUUGAUAGGUCAUCCAAGUACAUGUAUGUCAACCUUAAUUAUUUUGUUGAAAUCACAGUCCUAAUUUUGGAGGCCUUCUACAAGUGAUUCAGACCUCAAAAGAAGACGUUAAUGUUUCAUUCACGAUUUUGUAGCUAAAUCGAUGUACAGUUUAGUGGGGUAAUUAAGUGAGGAAUCACAAUAUACUGAAAGCUCACUUCAAAAUACUAAUUGUAUUUUUUUUUUAAAUGCAUGUUUAUAAGUAUUUUGAGUGGAACAGUACAUGUAUAUAGAAAAUAAGAAAUUCUGAGAUAAGUGCCUUUGAGAAUAAGGUGCCAUGUCCCUCUCAAUCAAUUCGUCCCGAAUGAACAUUAAAUAAUUUGCCACUGCAAGGAAGUUGAGCAAAGUUUGAUACCAAUUUUUUAGUGUAACAAAAAAACUAACAUGAUUCAUUGUGAUUGGUCAUCCUAUAUGUUAGUUCCGGUAAAUUAAGUAUCAUUUGUCCAAGUAUCAUUAAUAUUAAAUAUUUUAUUAAAAUCUAGAAUAGAAUACAAUCUCUUUAUAAGCUAUAGUCUUGUGAUUUAUUUGAACUAUUUAAAUAGGUGAUCAUUAAAGAAAGUCUUAAGUACUCUUUCUCAAGUUACUUGCAAAUUUUCUAUAAAAAAUAUUGCUUGAAUAAGUGAAUAAAGAAAUUACUCAUUUAAGUAUUCCCCCUGACUGUAUUAGUGGCAAAAUGAAGUUUUGAUUGGUGUUAUUUGAGUAUUAAAAAGUUCUUGUCUUCAAAAUUCCAAUAGGGAACAUACCUUUUAUAAUUGUAUAAAUAAACCAAUUGUUCAGACGUUUCGGCCAUUGGCCUUCUUCAGUUAUUUAUUAUUCCUCUAAACUACAUGGCUGACAUUUCUUUUUUCAGACAUUGAAAAGAUGUUAUAGAUAAAAAGUUAUUAUUUCUCUUUGCCACCAUGUUGAGGGUCAAUUUUCUCAAAUUCUUUCUUAAAUAAACCAAGUUCAACAUGUUAUGCUGGUCAUUUGAAUUGACUAGAAAAAAAGUUUGUUUUUUUACAAAUUUUCAUUUGUCUUUAAGUGUUGAAUUGUAUCAAAGUAUAACAAGAUCUAAUAUUUAUAGGAUCUCCUAUCAGAUUUGCUUGAAACAAGUUUGGUUAGUUCAUGUACAUGUACAUGAAGUCAUUUAGGAAAAUACCCAAGUUAUUGAAGUUAAUUAUAAUGGGGCAGAGGUAUAAUAAUAUAUCAAACUCAACUUAAAUAUUCAAAAUUGUGACAAAUUUUUUGUUGUUGUAGAUAAACUAUUGCUUCACCAGAUGAAGAUGUAAACAAUGCCUGCAGGUCAUUAUGACCCUCAGACUUCUUACAAUGGUGAUGAUUCUGCAGCUAGCAUUCUAAAAACAGUACAAGCACAGGUAAGUACUAUUAUUAUACCUUACAUAUAUUACAAACAAUUCUAUUGGAUAACAACUUAUCACGUGACAUGGAAUAAUUCGGUUAAUUUUCAUGUAAUUGCAUGGGAGGACGAAUAACCCUUAAAAUUUACACCAACGGUGAAUAACCCUAUUAUUCACCGGCGAAUAACCUUUUUAGUGUCUAGAUUUGCACUCGAGUUACCUCCCAUGCAAAUGACGUCACAGACGUAAAUAAACAAGAUGGCAGCGUUCACGUUACACUGACAGCCCAUCGAGAGACGAGGAAAUAAGGCUUUGGAAAUGAAUAGAGUGCCAGCAGCCGAUGUUAUCUCCUCUAAAUGGUCCUUUUCAGGGCCAUUAAUAUUUUACGAAAAGAUUCUACCUUUGUUGUACAUCCGAGAAAUUCUAGAACACAAACAUGACAAAUAUAUUUUCCUGAGCUAUUUUCAAACGUCAGCUUGUGUUUGUUAUGUAAAAAAUAUAGUGUUCAAAAUGCCCUUCCACUGUUUAUUCGGUAUAAUAAAACAAUUGUGGCCCCAUAGAAUCGAUGAAUAUCCAAAAUUGUCAACCCUUAAAAGUUAUUUCACUUCGGGCUGCGCCCUCAUUGAAAUAACCUUCUCGUGUUGACAAUUUUGGAUAUUCACCUUUUCAACGGGCCAUAAUUGUAUAAUCUACACAUAUAUUGACCUAUGAUGGAUAUUGGAAGAUGUGGUAUGAAUGCCAAUGAGACAGCUCUGAUGGUUUACUUUUACAAUUUGUGACUUGGACAAAAUGGUGGAUGGACAGUUGUCUCAUUGGCACUCAUACAACAUUUUAUAUCUGUAUACAUGAUAGAACAGAUGAAAUAAUUGAAAAAGGAUAAUAAAUGUUAGGAUUACCCAUGCAUUAACCUUUGUACAAAUGUGUAACAUAACUGAAGAACAUUGGACAGUUUUGUUACAACGUUAACACUAUAAGCACCAACUGUAAUAUUAGUUGGUAAGGGCUUUAAAAAAUCAUCUGCAAGAAUAUACAUUGAUGAAAAUUUAGAAAUGGAGGAACUUUGACCAGGACAUGUACAAAACACUGCAUUUAUGACUAAAAUAAUUGUUUCCUCCAUUUUUUUGUAAGGCCAAAUAAAGAUGUGGGUCGGUAAGUAGACAUUUUUUUUUGUGACCCCUCCAUAGCAGUGGGGGCAUUAAGUUUUAUCCAUGUCCAACUGUACGUGUCGACAUCCCAACUAUUUUGUUUGUUCUUUAACUUGGAUCAAAACACAGUUAAAGUCUGAAUUUGGGUGGUGUCACUUACCAUUCUAGAAUAAUUCACCUUUACAUUCUCUGACUUGUUUGACUGGAUUGCCUCAACUAAAUGUGUGAAUCUUAAACAGUGCUUAUAUGUUUACAACAAUACAAAGAUCAAGUUUGAAUCUGCUGGGGUCAUUUUUAACAUUCUAGAGUUAUGCCCCUUUACAAAUGGAAAACUUUCUUAUUUUGUUUCCAUUCUCUGUGAGUUUCCACUGGUAAUGAUCAUGAAGAUUCCAUUUUGGCAGUCAAGAUCAUUGCAUUUAAGUUACAUAUUUCAAAGUCUGACUUAUGGCCAAGUUAUGGGACACAGAUGAUGCCCACCCUGGGAUACAACCCUAUACAGAACUUGAACCUACGAUAGUGAGGGGCAUUAUGUUUUCUAGUCUGUCCGUCUAUUCGUCUAUGUUCGUCCAACUUCAGGUUAAAGUUUUUGGUCAAGGUAGUUUUUGAUGAAGUUGAAGUCCAAUCAACUUGAAACUUAGUACACAUGUACCCUAUGAUAUGAUCUUUCUAAUUUGGAUGCCAAAUAACAGUUUUGACACCAAUUUCAUGGUCCACUGAACAUAGAAAAUGAUAGUGCAAGUUUCAGGUUAAAGUUUUUGGUCAAGGUAGUUUUGGAUGAAGUUGAAGUCCAAUCAAAUUGAAACUUAGUAUACAUGUUCCCUAUAAUAUGAACUUUCUAAUUUUAAUGCCAAAUAACAGUUUUCACCCCAAUUUCAUGGUCCACUAAACAUAGAAAAUGAUAGUGUGAGUGGGGCAUCCGUGUACUAUGGACACGUUCUUGUUUUUACAUAUCUCAGUAUACAUAGUUUUAGCCUGAUAACAUUUGGUUUACAUCACUUUAGGGUACACAUGUAUGUUACAAUAUAUAUCAUGCAUAUUUUAACCUUAAAAGUGAAGUAUUGAAUUUGCAGUAAAUUAAUAUUCAUGUUUAAAGUAUGUAUUAAUAAUUGCAUUUUAUUAUGCCCCAUAUACAUGUAUGUGCAUUAUGUUUUCUGGUCGAGGUAGUUUUUGAUGAAGUUGAAGUCCAAUCAACUAGAAACUUAGUAAUCAUAUUCCCUGAUAUGAUCUUUCUAAUUUUCAGGCCAUAUUAGAGAUUUUCCCCUUUUUUCUCGGUCCACUGAUGAACAUUGAAAAUGAUAGUGCGGUUGGGGGCAUCCAUGUACUUUGAACACAUUCUUGUUUAUUUUAUAAUAUUUCAUGAUUUGACAACAUGAAAUAAUUAUAAAUAAUUGCCAAAUAAAAGUAAAAGUAUAUACAUGUUUCCUACUUUUAUAUGUCACACUUGUGAAAAGCGUAUCUUCAAUUUUUUUAAAGGUUCAGUUGGUGGUACAAUGAUCUACAGUGUAUAUUGAGAAAACUGCAGGUUCCUCAUCAACAUGUUAUUGGGGUAAAAAAUGAUGUGUUAAAAAUCCUAAUUUCCUUGAUAAUUAGAAACUGUUACAAGUUUAUACAAUCAGUGGUUUUCCUAUUGUGUUGAGGAAGGGGCCCAGGUUCAUAUUCAUGUAGAUAUUAAGAAUCGUUUAAAAUGAUUUUCAAUGUGCAAUGGCACCGAUAAAUAGAAACAGCUUCUUGCUCUAUUAUUAACAUCAAUUUGUCAUAUGAAUGGUGACAUACAUGUAUAAGAAGACCAGAAUAAUAUUGGUUUCACAAAUAAAUCAAAAUUACUUUUUCAAAUGCAGUACAGACCUUUGACAGAUACAUGUUGUACCUCAUUCUAAAUUCAGUGUGUUUUUUCAAUUCAAUAUCAUGUGACUUCCUAAAGAAUUAACAUUAUGAAAAAAAAUCAUGACUAAUUUAUGACACUGUCAGUGUCACCUAAAUUGUUUGGUUGACUGAUUAAGAACAAAGGUUUAUAAUUUAUUACAAAAUUCAGCAUGUAAAUUUGAAAAUGUAAGCAUGGAAUAUGUACAUGAUUUUACAAAAAAAAAAAAAAAAAAAUAUCUUAGUAUUUGAGAAAUGUAAAAAUAUUGUAUAUAUUAUAUACAUAUAUGCAUCAUUUAUCUGUCAUAUCAGUAAUUAAAUCUACAGAUACAUGUAUAACAUGUACAAUGUAUUUCUAAAGAAAAUAUGCUUUUAAGUGACAAAUACAGUUCACUCAUGUUCACAUGUUAGCCUCUGGUUGAAAACUUUAUUUGUGAAAUGUAAAAACUAUAUCAGUAUACAUAUACAUUUAACAAUUAAAAUGUGUUUUCUUAAGCAGAUACUGUAAUUGAACUUAUUUUCGCGGUGUAUUUAUUUUCACGAAUUUCGCGCUUGGUUUAUUAUCGCGAAAAUAAAUACACACGAAUCUAAAUCAAACCUUUCAACUGAAAGGCAAUAAUUAUAAAAUUGCGAAAAAUAAAUAGCCGCGAACGUUUUUGAAAUACACAAUUUGCGAAAAGAAGUACCCGCGAAAAAAAGUACAAGUACAGUACAUUGUAUGCCUUAAAGUGUCAACUUCUGGUUUAAAUUUUCAUUAAUAGGUGCAGUUGUAUAAACUACAUACAUAUAAUUUAUAAAAUGUAAUUCUAAAUUAGAUCUGCUUUUAAAAACUUAAAAGUGUCAGAUACAAUGUACUAAGUGUGCAUGUCAGCCUCUUGUUUAAAUUUCAAUUAAUUGGUGCAGUUGUACAUAUACAACCCAUAAAUAACAUAUAUUUUUAAAUUCCAUUUUCUUUUUAGUGCCAGUCACUAGAUUCCCAUGUUAGUGUCUUUUUUAAUCUCCAUUAAUUGAUGCAGUUGUAUAAACUAUUAAAUUUCAUUCCAGUUGCUUUGUGGGUACAUGUAUUUUCUCACGCUGUAAUAUGAUUUCAAUAAUUUAUUAUUAAAACGAACACAAACAAAGUGUAGGAAAUGAUGUAAGCUAAUAAAUAGUGGAAUAGUCACUGACAUUCCAAUCAUUAUGUAUUUAUAACACCUGAAUGAGCACGCUCAGUGAGUCAGUUAGGAAAAGGGUUUUACCUGUAAACAUUGCUUUUACCUGUCAGGUGUAAAUUAAAAAAUCAAAUAAAUUUGAUAUAAAUUCAGUAAUAUUUAAAUCAAAUUAAACUUGUAUCGGAACAUUAAAAUUUUAUAGGUGUAAAAACAUUUAUAUAUGUUUAUCUUGACAAACAAAUAUAACAUCCUGAUAAAAAUUUUCCUUUUUUGAACCCUUAUCAAAGGAUUGAAAAAAUGACAACACACAUUUGAAUACACAAUACCUUGAACUCCCACAAAUAUUUGUGAACUCAAACACCCAGACACAUUCUCAUCAUUGUCCUUUUGUCUAGGUCGUUGUAACAUGUAAAAAAUGUAAAUGUACAAAAUGUACCUGUAAAUAAAUCAGUGCAUAUAUUGGGGCAUUAUUGGAACGUAAUUAAACCAUUUUAUUGAUGUACAAUAAUAUAUACAUUGAUUCAUUGUUGUAUGACAGUGCAUGUAUAAUGUGAAUUAGGGAGUUAUUAUUCAUGUAAUCUUUUGUGGAAAAAAUAUAUCUAAAGAUAUUCAGAGACAGUUACAUGUAGUAAGAAAACAGGAUUUAUCGGAUAGUAUGAUAUUUGUGUAAACAAGUUUGAUCUAUAUAUAAUAUAUAUAUGAUAUGAAUUGAAAUAUUUGGAUAUGCAUAUAUUCUACAAAUUGUGACUUGGAUGAUUUGUCUCAUAGGCACUCAUACCCCAUCUUCUUAUAUCUAUUUAUUUCAUUUGUGGAUUUAAAGUAAUUAACCAGUGUUUGUGCUAUAGUAUAGAUGCCAGUGGAUUAACAUUCAAGUUAAGGAUUAUCAUUUUUUUUAGGAAGCAGAAUUUGAAAGAUUAACCAGAAAAUUAGAAGCCGAAAGAGAAACUGUAGGACAUAAGUUUAGGGAGGUGAGUGAAGGAAAGAUCACAAGAAUAGUGCUUGUUUUUUGCUGUUUAUUAGACCCUUCUACAACAAAUUUUGUUUUACAUGCACACGUAUAAAAAUUGCGAUAUUUAUCCAACACAAUCAUAGGUUUGAACGCAGUUUUCAAUUUAGACUUGUUUAUAUAUACUGUAUAUCAUAUUUUUUUCAUUCAUUAUUUUGCACUUAAAUCAAGCUGUUAGUUUUCGCAAUUGAAUUGUUUUGAAAUCUUUAUUGGGGGCCUUAGGUAGCCAACUAUGUGGUAUGGCUUUUACCUAUUGUUGAAGGCCGUACGGUGACCUAUAGUUGUUGAUUUUUGUGUCACUUUUGUCUCUUGUGGUGAGUUGUCUCAUUUGCAAUCGUACCACAUCUUCGUAUUUUGAUACAUAUUUAUAGAGAUAGACUAGUAUGGAACACUUCGCUUUAUUAUAUUUUCAACUCCUUUCGGAUUGUCUUCUCUUGUUGUCUGAUGAUUUCCAUCAAUUACAAUUCACUGUUCUCCCAAGGGGCUUUUAACAUUAUUGUAAGGUGAUGUAAUCUAAAACUAUUUCUUUAUCAUGUUUAUAGAUUGUGUUUAAGAUUUGAUACGACAAUUUUCAAAAUGUUAUUUCAAAAUACGCUGUAAAGCCAAUGAAAGCAGAAUACAGUCACUGGAAGGAUUUCAUCAUGUUCAUAUAGAAAUGGAAUGAAUGGCACAAGAAAUGGAAGAUGAUCUAUAAAAAGGAGUUUUAAAAGGGUUCUUUUUAAGUACACAUAAAUACCAGGGGUUACAGACUGCUUGUUUAGCCUUAAGAAUUUUAUCUGUAUUUACAAAAAAAUGUAUGUCGGUCAUAUCAAUACCUCAUUGAGUCUAUUUUCCUCCAAAAUAAUAUUCUUAUUGAAAGCUAAGAUUUUGGUGAACAUGAUAAGGUUCGAACUUCUCCUGAAAAAUAGAAGUUGAUAUCAAGCAUAUUAGCAUAUUCUUUCAGUAUACAGUAUACAUGAUGUACAUGGUUAAAAUAAAUGAUAAAUAUGAUUUAAUAAUCAUCAAACAUUUUCGUCAAAUGAAAACUUCCAGAUGACCAAACUUUUAAUUGAACUUUUUAUUUCUAAAAUGCCUUUGUUUACACAAUGAACAGAAGAAAUGUGGAAUAUGAGGAUAAAGUAUACUUAUUAACACGACCCAAUUACUAAGAGGUACAUACAUGUACCAGGAAAUAACAUACCAUAUGUUUUAUCUGACAGUGCAGUAUUUGGCAUAUCUAUAAAUAAAGAAUACAAACAAUCUCUGAUUUGAAGUAAUUAUGCUUUUUACUUCAUGUACUUUGAACUCCUUGUCCUAAUUGUAAUUUGUACAUUUCUUUCAUUUAAAGAAAUAGGUAAUUCUAAUGGAAACCUCUAAAAAGAGUGCUCUUUGUGAGACAGACAACUUUCUACUUUUCUUGUCUUUUUAUUUUGUUGUUGUAAAUAUGCACUCUUAGAAAAAAAACGACACUCCAUUAUAAAACAAUCAUUGAAGUAAGACAACAUUAUAGCACCAUGACGGAUCAUACAGCAUUAAUUUAACUUAAUAAAUAACAUUUUCAUGAAGCCAUUUUUUAUGAAGUUUCAUAAGAAUUUAUGAUUAAAAGCAGGAUAUAAUAAAUUGAACGAGAAACUUAUUAUUUUCUAAAACUAAAAUGAAUUUUCUGAUAUCAAAGAUUGCAUUGCAGUAUUUAUUUAUGACUUUUAAAGUAUUACACUGUAUAAGUUGAAAAGCAAGCAUGAUAAGUUUAUGUUAAGAUUGUUAUGUAUAAAUACAAUUACUAAGUAAAAAGAAUAACUUGACGUAUAUCAUGUAUAUUUUUAUACAUUAGCCUAAAAAAUGUAUCAAUUGAAUUACUUGGUAUACCAGAUAUUCACUGGCUUGUAGACCACUUUCAAAAUGAAGACUUAUAUUGACUCCACACAGGAUGUUUUGUAUGGCUUGAUUUAUAUGGGUAUCUAUCAGGUAUUUUAAAGGUGGACCUAAAAAUGUUGUAUAAUCGGUUUUAGGAAUGCAUUUGAUUAUUUUUUUGGGCAUAUACAUGUAGUUAUUUUCACCUAUCACUGAUAUUAGUCCUAAACAAAAUUUAAAUACACACUCAACAGCCAAAAAUUUCAAUUCUGUGUCCACAAGUUGUAAUUUAUCAAUGUUUCUGGUUAUAAAACAAUGUGUUUUUCCUACCUGAAUACUUUUGCAAUGUGUAAGCACUUUAAAGAUUAAUCUUGACUUUAUAUUAAAACAUGAUUUAUUCACUUUCAUCAAAUUAUAAAGACACAAAGGUUUCAAAAAUAAACUUGGUUUUAGUUACCAAGAUAUUUGAGUAAUUUAAAUUUUUCCUUUAUAUUCAUUUCCCUGUUUAGAUAAUUACUCGUCUGAAAAUAGCCAAAGUUUUCUUUUUGUUAAAAACAUGCAUUUCAUGUUCUCUGUUUACAGUUGAAUGAUAUCAACUCUCAAAAGACAUUUGAUAAAUUAAAUCGCUACUGUCUGGGUCAGCUAGAGGUAAAAUUUAUUACAUGUAUAAAUUACAAUUGUACCGAAAAUGAUUUCAUGUCAUUAAUUGAUAGCUAAGUAGAUGAAAGUAAAACUAAUAAACAGGUGUUAAAUGGCUAACAAUACCUGAUUGUACUUGGCUUUAAUAUGCUGAGGUUCAUAUAUUUAGCAAGCUAAUUAGCAAGUUACUUGUGUGGUCAUAUAGGUUUGUACUAAGACCUAUGAUUGAAUUUGGGCAAAUAUUUAUGUUUUGAAAUUGACAUUUCCUAUUAAAUCUGAAAGUAUAAGGUCUUUGUGAUAUCACAUUUUCUCCUAUAUGUAUACAAACUGAAACAUUAGAUUGCUUUCAUUAGAUGAAUAUGAUAUUAGAUUUCCGAGAACUUAUCACGUUAGCCAAUGAUUAAUUAAGGUUUUGGACCUGAUUGGGUUUUAAUCUAUCUUCAUUGUUUAAUGGGUACACAAACAGUAUAAAUGAAUUCUAAUAUUUUAAAAAUUAAUAAAAUGAGAGAAAAGGAAGAUCUUUGUUACUUAAAAACGUAGCCUGUUGUUAACUUCUAGGUCAUUCAUGUCUUCUGGUCUCUUGUGGAGAGUUGUUUCUCCAGCAAUCAUACCACAUAUCCUAAUUUAUAUGCUGUGACAUUUUCAGGAAAAACUAAAUCAAAACAUAAUUUUGCUGGGGUAUACAUUGUAAGGUACUUGCAUUACAUAGUUAAAAUAGAAUUUUGGAUUGCAUUGAGGACAUGAUCUGAAUAUCAAUGUCUGUACAUAUUAUAUGUGUACAUUUGAUGCCUGACAAUAUAAGUACAUAUGAAUUUCAAAAAGCUUGUACAUUUAUUUGUACUCUGCAUGUUGUAUAUGUACAAUAUUAGAAUUGGGUUAAGCUUGUUAUGGAUAGUUUAUAACUUGUUUGCUUCUCCCAGAAUUCCAUUUAUUUGUUUUGGUGUUUGAACUAGUUUUUACCUGUAUAAGCAUCCGAUUUUACAAUAGAACCUUUAUAGUCAAACCUGCUAUAUAUAAAGGUCUUGUGUAUUUACUGAAAAUGUCAGGUCAUCCUCAUUUGGAAUUGUCCCACUGUAUUGAUACCAAUUCAUAUUGAACUACCUUUCAAAAGAUCCCAUCUCAUAUGAUGGGUGACCUUUAUACCAGGUUUGACUGUAGUUCACACAUAGCCAAAUUUCUGUUAGGUAUUUAGUUACCCUUUUUAGUUUUGCAUGGAUCUCUAGCAGUCUUUGGUUUUAUAUCAUUGCAGUACAGGGUGGGAAGUCAGGCCGAUAGUAUGAAUAGCAUCAAUAGCGCAGAUGAUUCUUAUUGGCGUAGUCCUCAUUCUGACUCACGACUCCAUGAUGAUACUGUGGGGGACUCUAAAAUGAGCUCACACCUCCUUGACUCCUGCCUGUAAGUAUUUUUGGUAACGGGUAGGUUUUAAUGUUAGGAUGGUGAGGUAUCUGUAUUUGAAUUUCAUCAGGCAAUGAAUAUAUCUAACCAAACUGGUCUCUAAGAUUCUGAUCUCACUGAUUUCUAAAAGCAAAUUGUUUUUUUUUUUUCAUUCAAUCAACAUUUGCCAAUACAUUUAGAAAGAUUGUUGACAAAUGAUUAAAAGAUAUAAAUAAACAUGAUAAACAUGACCUUCUGAUGUUGUUUUUUCUAUGGUCGGGUUGUUGUCUCUUUGACACAUUCCCCAUUUCCAUUCUCAAUUUUAUGAUUUUUUUUUUGGGGGGGGGGGGGGGGUUAUUUUAGGAUGUAGAAUAAAUCCCAUUGCUUUACUUUGCCACAAUUUAAUGGUAGUGCCUGAAAUUUAAACAGGGGUUUGCAUAAGUACUGCUCAUUCCUAACCUUUGUUUAGUUGCAUUAAUUGUUGUAGAGCUUCAAUUUUAUAGGACAUCUUUCUGACAUAUAUGUUUUUGCAUGAUUAGUCAUUUAUGCAUUUAAGUCUGAAUCUUGAACAUGAUAAUGUACAUGUAUCAAUAACCAUAAACAUUAUCCUUGUACAUAUACAUGUAGGCCUGAAAUAAUAUGUAUAUAUACUAAGUACUCAUUCUUAUUCCUGAGGUUUGGCUAUUGUGGAUUUCAUGGUAAAAUGUGAAUUCAGGAAUAACAUAAAAAUAUUCUUAUAGGCUUUCAUAUCAUUGAAAUCAUGAUCAUGAAGUUGAAGGGCAUUCACAUGUACAAUUUUUUCUCCUUUUAUAAAAUUGUUACCCAGAAAAAUUAUAAAAUAUUUUUGUUUGGAUACAAUUGUUUAUCAUAUCCCUUUGUAUCUUGUUUGGGGCCUCUGUGGUCGAUGUGUCUAAGUAGUUACUACUGUAAUCAAUAGCCAGUCAUCAUUGAGGUUGUGAGGUCAAACCCCUGCUUGUGCCGGUGCACUCAACCCAAAUCUCAAUAGACUAGGAAUGCCAGUUUUCCUUUUGAAGGUCAUGGUUUUCUACGAGCACUCUGGCUUCCUCCACCAAUAAAAACAAACUGGCCGCUAAGAAAUUGCCGAAAAGCAGUGCUUAAAAGAUGUGUUAAAACACAAAAAAUCAAAUCAUCAACAUCAGUCAGGAAGGGUUAUUUUCAUCAAAUUCAUGUAUUUCUUCUGUUUCCAUUACAUUCCAAAUAUGUGUUUUAAAAACUUACUGUUAACAAGCCCUAGGGACAAAAGGAAGACAGCUUUGAAAGUAUCAGUGCUAAAUACAUUAGGGUAACAUUUUUAUUUGCCCAUGUCUCCCUUUAUUAGUUUAUUUUAUUCUGUGCCAUGAAUUUUCGAAAGAUUGGGAAGGCUGCCAAAUGGCUAUUUUGUUUUUUUGUCUUAUCAGUUGAAUUAUUUUAAAAAAGCACUGAUAGUGCCCACUAUAUCAAACAUCUAUACUUUGUAUGCAUAUGUAAGUCAUUGUGGUUUGGCAUUCCAUUUAUAUUCAGAGUCUUAAAGUAUUCAAACAUUUCAUUUUCGAAAAAUAGAUACCUUACAAGGGGAUUUACCGGUAGGUCAAACUGUUGUGAUUAAAUUUAGUCACUGUUCAAGUGUCCACCAGAGUUAAUUGAUCUCUAGCUCAUUGAUCAAAGAUCUUUUAAACUUUGCUACUUUUAAAAUGUUCAGGACAUUCCAAUACAGCUGUGUAUACAAUGAAGAUAAAAAUACCGUGGCCAUCAGAGCAUAUCCUUCACUGUUCUGAAGUUGUUUAAAUUUCAAUUAUGUGACACAUGUAAAUAAAGAUAAAAGAUUGGUUACGCAAAAAUUAAAUAUUUUCAGACUAAAAUAAGCUUUGGCAUAAUAUGUGGUAUUAUGUGGUUAAAAAAUUAAUUACUUUAUGUGAUAUUUUAUUAGAUUAAAAUAUUGGAAUUUGUUGGGCUUGGGUUUAUUUUAUAUACAUGUAGUACUUGUAGUCUUUAUUUACAUUAAAUAAGUGGAUUGGUUUUAAAAUAAUAAGCAUAACUUAGUCAAUAUUUUUCGUGUAUCCUUUAUCGUAUAAUUAGCAUGUCAUUCUGCAAGGUACCUGUAUAUGUAAAUAUUUCAUCUUGUACAUUGAUAGUUCAAUGUUAUGACCAAGGAAGUAAUAAAACAAAUAAACAGAAAUUAAAGGACACUUUAGACCCGAGUAGUAGAAAACGCAACAAUUGUUGUACAAAUGCAGAGUUCUACAAAAAUGAUGGUCCGAAGUUUUUGACCACCAAAUUUUGCAAAGGACUGACACGAUUUAUUGUGUUUUGCAAUAAAAACAAUGGUUAAAGGACUAGCAGAUUUUUGUAAAGAACUACCAAUGAAAAGAUUUUGAGAAUUCUGCUGAUGCAUUUGCAAUAUCCAUCGCCAUCAAAAUAUAUUUACCGAAAUAUAAAAAAGAAUUUACAAUUGAAAUCCAAUCAAAGAAGUUGUUUUUCUGUGUUAUGUAUUAGUAAGAAUUUGAGUUUGUUAUUGGCACCAACUUGGAAAAAUAUUUAAGUUUUAAAGUAUUCCUUCCAGCUAUCUGAUGACAUCCAACAAUAAUAUUUAUAUAUGGUUAUAAAAUCAUUAGAAUGUACAUGUAUCUUGUGGAAGUUGUGUAUAUAAAUGAUCUCCCAAAAUAUCUAAUACCUGUAGCACUGUUUCCCUUAUAUAUAGCACAGCAUUUAUAUAUGUUUUGAUUUAAAAUCUAUUCCAAAAGCAGCUUGAGAAAACUGAAUAUCUGUGAUAUUGGAAGUUUUAGUUUAAUUGAUGGAUACAUUAAAAUUUUGAAGCUUUAAAAUAUAAAUUUUUAUUAAUAUUUCAAGAAAAUUUCAUUUAAACUGUCCAAUUUUAUGCCCCUACACAAGGCAAAAGGGACACUAACUAUUACCUUUUCCCAGUCAGUCUGUCAAAAAAGAAUUUCCCCAUAUUUUAGCAAGCUUUAGAAGGGUCAUUCAGUCCUCAGGCACCAUCUUCUUUGAUUUAUUGAAAUGUUUCAAAUCACAUAUAGCCAUUUCUUACCAUUGCUUGCAGUGCAAAUAUUUUUGUUUGAAAAAAUUGAAACUCUAGUGGAUAUAAGUUAAUUGAAGUAAACAUGGUAAAUAUGGUUCGUAGCUUUUGAUAUAAAUAUUGGGGACUUUAUAAAUUACAAACAUAAACUCAACCAAAAUGUAAAUUUUUUUGUAGAUAAUAUAAGAUGACUUAUACAAGUUUGAUCAAAAGUAUGAAAUUUGAUAACUCUAUAGACCCUGAGUAUUAUAUUGUGUGUUUGUUAUAAAAGUGGCAUUAACGCUUUAUGUUAUACUUAUUUUUUUGUUACUCAAAUAAAUGCCUAUUCAUGUUUAAAAAUUUUAGGAUUGAAAAUUGCAUUAAAAAUAUGUACUUCCCUUUGUUAAGAGAUAUAUAUGUCGAGGAGUCUGCACAAAAGAGAACACUAGGUAUACAUUUAGGGUAUAUUAUUGUUUACUGUUCUCGUGAGAAGAGCUUUAAACCUUUUAAAUUCAGGGAUAAUUAUGUUAUUGGCAAAGAAAGAAAACUUGAAUUUAAAACAGGAUUAAAUUACUAGGUCAUAGUAAAUAGUAAGUUGUCCAGGACAUUAAUGUCACAGUUGUAACACUCCUACGGGCAUGUAAGCUUCUUAUUGUCAGUGGUUUGUAGGCCUUUCAGUCUGCGGGUACACGUUCCCACUUCUUCCAUCACAUAUCAUGCAUAAUGCACUGUAUCAACUAUGUCAUGUUCGUGAUACAUACUUUGUAUUCUUUGUUCCUUUGAUUAAAAAGAGGAAAUAAAGUUUAUUAUUUUUUUGGAACUUCUAACUUGCAUGUCAAGUCACAUGGGUUCAUCAAAAGAUUCAGUUGUUUCCACCUGUGUAUUUGUCAAAGAAAAACAUCUAUGUAAUAAGGAUUCAUUACAUGAUUACCACCAAGUAUUUAAACUUGUAUACAACAUAGUUUUAGAUUCUUUUUUCUUUAUUUUUAGGAGAGAGCUUGAUAACAGGGGCACAUUUGGGUAUGUUUAUUAUAUAAAAUAAAGUAAUAUACUGCCAUGAAAGUAGUCUCAAGUUGAAUAAUAAUAAACUUUGAUCAGAGGUCAAAAGUGUUUUACCAAUAAAAAGUUCAGUUAUUUAGUUCUUAUAUAUCAUAUGCAUGUAUAUCAUUUAAAGAUAUAAAAAAUGUCAAAAACUUAAUUUAAGGACUGAAUUUGAUGAAACGUUUAUUACUUGACUCAUAAAGUAUACAUAUAUGAUUCAAGCCAACUUCAGUUGAUAAGAUAAUUUGUAAAUGAACAGGGAUGUUCAUUAUUAUAUCAUAAGACAAAGAAACAAAAUAUUCACAUACAAUUUUAUCAUUUAGAAAUACCACAUACGAUCGAAUAAUUGAAAAGACAACAUGCAAUUAGUAAUAUCUUUGCUUAAGUUAUACAUAUGGUCAAACCAAUUGUUUAAAACAAAAGUUUCUUGUCUCUUCUUUUAAUAUUUUUAUAGUCCUGCCACAUAAGAAUAAUUUUGUUGAUAUUUGCAGAGACAACAACAUGGAUUACGUGGAGGACCCCUACAGUGGUGGAGGGAGACAAUUGUACAAUGAUUCCUACAAUCAGGGUUACGACCCACAUUACAUGGACCAAAGGUCACCUCACGCAUCUCAUACAUCAUUACAGAGUAACGACAGAAACAGAAUGGUAAGGACGCUGGUGUAAAAACAUACUCCCAAGAUAACCUCAUUUAUAUGAAACAAUUUGAGACAGACGCAAAAUGGUUAGGACCCACAUGCACUAAUCCUCUACUAAAAUAAAGGGUAGUCACCAAAAAUAUACCAACUCAUCUAUUGUUGUAAUCAAUAAAUAACAUAUACUCUUCCUAAUAUGCAUGUUAGCCAAGGCUCCGUGUUGAAGACUUUGACCUACAAUGGUUUACUUUUACAAAUUGUGACUUGGAUGGAGAGUUGUCUCAUUGGCACUCAUACCACAUCUUCGUAUAUCUAUUUAAUAUUUGCCACUGAAUACUAAAACACCAAUCCACCAUUAUCACCAUCAAUAUAUUGCAUAUACAGUCACUAUUUAAGGGAGGCUAAAAUAAAAUUUAAGUCCUCACAGUCACAUAUUUUAUUUGUUCAUUUAUUUAAGUCUGUUACUUUUAACUUGACAAACUCUAGACACCAUUCUCAGUGGUGGUACAAAUAACCUAGAUAAGGGGUUACCUGUCCUGUCUAUAAGGGUCAACUUCAACAAGAUUUAAGACAGUAACAGACUCUUAUUAGGUACUUAAAGAUUAGAUAAAUGAUUGACAUUUACAUGUACAAAAACAUUAAAUUGUGUAUUAUGAUUGAUUUCCUUCUAAAUGUUUUAUUUCUAGACUUUAAACAUUACUGGCAUUUAAAAGUGAUGACCAUGUUAAACCAAAUUUAAAAGAAAUGCAAAGAAACCAACAUUUUGCACUUAUUUAAAAGUUAUUUAAAAGAUUCAAAAUUAAAUUUUCACUUGAUAAGACAAGAUAUUAUAGCAUCAUUGUAUCCUUGACAUAAAUUAAAAAAAUCAUAAAUUGAUUGAUAUCGUAUUUGUAUUAACAAGGACUUCAAAAAAAAUAACUUGUAUGAAAUGGCUGGAUGUUAAAAAUAUUUGUGUAAUGUACAGAUUGUUAAUCUUCUUUGGAUAAUAAUAAUAAAAAUGUGAUUGACAUUAACUAUGGGCACUAAUCUUUUUCUUCUUUUUAGGCACAGAGAGAAAACCACCCUAAUGACAACUACACAUCAUACUCCUCAUUAGCUAGACAGCCAGGGUAUGACGAUAUGAGAGGAUCCCCGGGAACACCCACAAGGUUGAACCAACAGCAAUAUGCUAGCGAUUAUUAUAACGAUAACUCACCUCGCUACAGUUUGGCCUCUAACGAUAGCUUCCAGCGACCUCAGCAGCAGUAUCAUUAUGAUCCUAGGUAGAUGGGUUAUAGAGCAUGCUCAGUUAAGCUCUAGGUGUGACACAAAUGACCAGAAAUCAUUCUAUUUUGAAUUUGUACUCGAAUUAUGGAAGUUAAACUUAGAAUAUUUGUAAUGAUUUCUGGAAAUGACUUGUCAGCCUAGCCUUAAAUGAAAAUGUUCAGUUAGGUGUCCCACCAUGCAAAAAUUGUUAAGAUUUUCUGUUUGUUCAUUUUAUUCAUGAAAUUUAAUUGAUUUACUUUUGAAAAUAUUUUAAGAAAUGUUAGGAAACGUAACAUAAAAGACAUGUUCAAAAAGUUGUUGAAAACAUUUAUUAUUAUACAAUUAUUUGUGAAAAGUAAAUAAGUAAGUCAGUAAAAUUACUAUAAAUGAUUUAAGUUUGUAUUAAAGUGCAUUUUGUAGCAUGUUUUUCAGAAUGUGUAUUUAAUUGUAAGCAUAUAAUCAAACACAUAUUUUGAAAAAAAUUGUAUCGUAUAUUUAAAAAAAAAAGAUGUCAUAAGAAAUUGAAAUGCAUUGUGGGAUUUUUGUGAAGGGAUCUAGGAUUAUAGAAGAUAAUUUGAAAUCAUCAGCUCUUGGAAAAACUAAAAAAUAUGUGUGAUGAAAUGGAUUGUUUAAAUCUGUGUCUGUUCAUGUUCACAGAUAGAAAGGGGGAGAUACCUUAUAUAUUCCUUUAAUAGACUUUUAUUAUUCAUUUUGGAGAAAUUCUUUUACAUGUUUAAAAGUUAUCAAAAAGUUAAAUUAGUCUGAUCAUAAAAUUUUAUCAUUAGACAUAGUUUUUAAGGAAAAAGUUUAUAUAGGGAAGGAUAAAAAGAAUUACAGUUUUACACUAUGUUACCUUUUUAAAAUUCAUUUUUCAUCUUAUGAAAAAAUGAUACCAAAUGAAUUCUUUUUUUCUUUAACUGUAAUAUUUUCCUAUUAUGAAGAACUUUUGAGAUAUUCUAAACUUAAAAUCCAAGUAUGUUGUUGGUAAUAUUUAUAAGAAACUAUGUGUAUAUAACUUAAGCAUAUUUUAUAAUCCUGGAAAACUUAUUUCUCAUGCUCAUGAUACUGCGGAUUCCAUUGUAUGGGAGAGGGGUAAAAUAACCAAACAUGUUAACACUGUCAUCAUCAUUAUCAUUGUCAUCUAGAACAGUUUUCUCUUGUAGUUCGUUCAUUGGAAAUUUUAAUGGGAAGUUCUGUGGAAUUCAUGUUGAUGCUGAGAGAGGGCUUAUUCAAAUUUAUAUUAAGUUAAAAAAAUAUCAGUUAAUUUGUAACAAAAAAAAAUCAGAAAUUUACACAUCUGCAUGAACCAUCCAUUGGAUAUUUUUGUGGGACUAAAUAAAAUAAAAAAAAGAUGUCAGUAUUUUUACUCAUAAUUUUUAAAUCAAUAAUAAGGAGUAAGGAUAGUUUGUAGUAACAAAUGUAGUUUUUGUCUAAUAAGCAAGUGAACAUGAUUUGUGACAAGAAAAAGGGAGAUAAUUUUGGUUUAUUUCCCUUUGAUAGGCUUUUAUUAUUUUGGAGUUAAAAUUUUCAAAAAAGUUUAUUAAUCAGUUUUGAUUAUGAGGUUGACAGAAUCUGUAUGCAUGAUAUGUAAUCAUGUAUUAUAUGCCUGAAAAAGUAGCAUGCUAGUGUGUAUCAGUUAUAGUAAAACUUAGGCAACUCAAAUUCAUUACUUUUGAAAAAAAGGGUGUUUAGAAAAAAAAGAAGAAACGUAUCCAUUGAAAUUAUAGCUUUGCAAGAAAAUCUACAAGAUAAUAAAAUAAUAUGGUUUUAGUUGCCUAGGUUGCAUUUAUGAAUGGCUAUUUUAAAGCAUUGAAGUGUAGGACUGUUAGUUUUGCAAGCCACUGUAGUUAUUUUAGCAAAACUUAAAAGACUUCUUAUAUACCCUUAAAAGAGACAGUUUUAUGUAAGAUAAGUUUAGGAAUUUUUAGUGAUAAAGGGUUGGUUUCCUUCUUUCAAGUCUGGAAAAUAAAAUGUGUAGUAUUAUUACGGUUUUGUUUAAAAAAUUCUAUAAUGUUAUUAUUCGUCACUUCUUUUCAUUUGUCAAACCAGCUUAACACACUAAGACUGAAUUAAGAGAGGCCUUCAUCCUUAAAAUCUGAAGAUUAAUACACCUUUUCUCAUUAAUUAUGUAGAAUAGGAAUAUUGCUUUUAUAUUUAUAUUAACAAAGACCAACUAUUUUAAAAUAUUCAAAUUUUUAAAUCUUUAAUGCACUGGUAUUAUACAAGGUGCUUUUUGAUUCAUAUCAUUUUGAUUUUAGUACUAAUAUUAGAAAAAAAUUUGGGUUUUUUAGUGAUUUGUUAACAAUUAUGCAUAAAUACUGCUUGAAAGUAUUGUUUUGGAAUCGAACUAAAAAAUAAAGCUUAAAAUAAUAACAUUUAUUAACUUAUUUUCAUUGUUUGAAAUGAUAAAAUGAUUUAUGCAGACAGUUUUAAGAGAUACCAAAAAAUAAAGUGGAAGGAAUUUAUAUAGUAAAGAAAUACUCAGAAUCUGAAAUUAGAAUUGAAAAUCUUUAAAUCAUGUUAUUUUUAAAUUUUCAAUAAAAUUUUAGUUUGUCACAGACUAGUAAAAAAUUGUUGAGUAUGAUGAUCAAGAAAAUUAUUUACUGAAACAAAAGUCGUCAUGUAACAUUAAAUAUUUUAGGGACAUGGGUCAUCAGCCAACAGAACAAGUAUCUUAUGGUGGACCUCCAAACGAUCGCUAUGGUGAUGUGUCUGCCUUUAGUGAACAUCCUCCAAACAAUCCUCAUAAUGAUUCUCAUGUCAGUGACUCUUUCUAUAGGGACUCUCCUGUUGGAGAAAGGUAUAAUGUUCAAAAAGGAAUACCCCAAAAUGAUCCAUACCAUGACGAAGGUUACGGGGCUCCCUCACAGGAACGUUACAAUGAACAGCCUUACGGUAGUGACCCAAGGGGAAUAGACGGAUACAGGGAUGAUAAUCGUUAUGUUGACCAGUAUGGUCAGCCUCCAGAUGAUAGAUACAUGCCUCCAGAGGAUAGACUUGCAGAUCUAAGUCUAGACAACCCUAGGAGUCCCCAUGAUGGACAUGGUCCAGAAGGCUACAGGGGACAUGAAGGUCCCUUGAAUGAUAGUUAUGGGGAACAACCACCACAAGAACAAACAUUUGGUGAUUAUGAUGACAGUCCUUACAGACCUGAAGUAAAACAUCAUGGUCUUCCAAUAGUUCAUCAGGACCCUUUUGCUGACGAUCCUUUCCAAAGUAAGGAAAACUUGGCCAAUAGAGAUCAUUUUGAUGGUCCAGGGAAUGAUAGGUAUAGAGAUAAUGAUCGAUAUAGAGAUGAAGACCCAUACAGAGGAGACCCUCCGUCUGAUGAAGAUGACCCUUAUAGACGAGGUCCACCAGUGGAAGACUUUGGCAGAGAGCCUCCUGCAAAUGACCCUUACUUAGGCAGAGGUCCACAAGAUGAAGAAGAGGAUUCCUUUAUAGGUAGAGGUCCCCCAGGAGAUGACAGAUACAGGGAUGAAGACCCCUACAGUGGAAGGCCACGACCAGAGGAUAACCCCUAUGGAAGUCGUCACCUACAGGAUGAGGAUCCUUAUUCUGGAAGACUACAAGAUAGACAACCAUCACCUACCAAUGACAGAUAUGGUAUGGAGAUAUUGUUUUGGUUGAGAGUGUAGUUUAACAACUUUUAAUGAGAGUACAUUUCUUUUGUUGAAUACUUUUUGAUACUUGAAUGCCAACUGAUAGUCCAGAAUCAAAAUAAAUAAAAAAAUAUUUUUGAAAAUGUUAAUUAAAAGAUACUAACAGAUGAAACUAUUUAAAAUUCAAUGGUCGAUAUCUUAUGAUAGAAACAAAAGCUUGUUUGCUUCAGGCUGUUUUAAAAAUAUUCAAGGGAAAUUUUGGAGAUCUAAAUUUUCCAUGUGUGUUGCAAUACAUCCAACAUAAGUGAGAAAAAAACUUCAAUUAUCAUAUUUUAAUCAUAUUCUUUCUGAUGCUUAAUUGAACAAAUUCAUUUUAGGUGGUCCCCCUCCUGGUUACGUUGACAGAUACGGUGACGAAGAUCCUGUCAAUCAACAACCUAUGUUUGAUGAUCGUAUGGAGAGGAGCAAUGAAGGCCUGAACAUGGCACCCCCACCCCAAGAUAACUACUCUGAUGGAAGACGAACACCUUCAGAUAGAGGUAGGAAUAAUUACUUAAAAUGUAUAAUCUUUUAUGGUGCAUCAUUUGAUCUUUGUAUCAUCCAAACGAAGAGAUGUAUUUUAACAAGUGCAUAAAAGUUCCUUUUGGCUAUCAGAAAAAUUCUUGAUUGCAUUGUGAAACAGUUUACAAUUUCACACUGUGGGAAUCACUGAGUCACUGCUAUGAAAAGAUUGUCUCUUCUAUUCAACUCAAGAAAAAGGUUGGGGAAAAUACAUGGACAUGUCAUGAGUAUUAAUGAAAUCCCUGAGAUCACAAAAGCAAAAAGCCAUAACUGUCCAAGAUCUAUAUUACCCAGUGGAGUUGCAACCCUAGUUUUAGUAUAAUCAACUAUAAAUAACAUGCUAGAAGCUAAAUUAUAUAUUUGUCUAAACCAAAUGGUACCAUUAGUUUCAUAAAUACUUCAUGACUUGUGUUGUCCUUGUCAAUAGAAUCAUAGUCCUUUUCUCAAGCAACUUAUUUUUUGUGUUACAGUAGUUUAAAUAUAAUUUUUUUUUUUUAAAUAAAAUAUGUAAUUAUCACAUAUUUGCUUUUGUGGAAGGGUAGACAACCCAGUUUGUCACCAGUUUCCUUGUAUUUUAGAAAGUCAAAGUUUGACAGGAAUGAGGAACUUUACAUAGCCAUUAUAUAUAUAGGACAGGGGAGGCAACUCUAGUUGGUCUAAAGUUUCCUGUUGUAAGGGCAAGGGAAAGUGAAAAAAAAAACACACAGGAAAGAGGAACUUUAACUAUGGUUAAAGAUGCUUUCUGUGUAGUCGUUGUAAGAUACUUUGGAAGAGAUAAAUUAAUUGUAGUAUUUCUCAUGAGUGAGUUUUUUUUUAAAUUGUCCAAAGAUCACAUCCUCUUGUUUAAACAAAACUUUGUAUAGAAUGGUGAAUAUUUUAGAAUCUAUAUAAAUGUAUGUUUAUGUUGAGUGAAAUAGGGAAGUGAGAGUUACUUGUGACUUUUAAUACUUCAGUUCAGUUUAGUUUCCUAUAUAAUACUCCAUUAAUUGUGGAGCACUACUAAAGGGUAUAGUGCUGAAGACCAUAUGUUUACACAUGGUAAACAUAACAUAUGGUAAACAUAAAAGUAUCAAUAGAAACCCAAAUAUACUUGAACGUUUAGAAUGUGUCUCAUGUUACAAAAAAUUGUGCAGGUUUCAUAAGAUAAAGAUGUGUAUGAAGGACAAUAAAGGUGCUAAACUGUACAAGGUCCACAAGCAUAAGCUUUGACACAUUCCCCUUCUCCAUUCUUAUUUUUUUUUAUUGCAAGAAGUUAAAAUGCAUGUUGAUUGUAUGUAAGUAGAUCAGUGGAAUUAAUGUAGUAACAUGUAUGUAUCCAUAAAAAAGAAGCAGUAUUUAUUAUAUAUAUAAUUAACUAAAAUGGUUCUGAGUAUAAAAGGUCGACAAGAAUAAUUAUCUCUCAGGAUGAUAGAAUUUAACAACAGAUAUAAUUUGUUAUGGCGGGUGUAAGCCAGUUGAACCCUUCAGGAGCACCUGAGAUCAACCGCCAGUUUUUAGUGUGGUUUGCGUUACUAAGUCUAGUUUUCCAUAUUAUAUUUUGUGUAGUAUUGUUUGAUGGUCUUUUAUUUUUGUAGCUAUGGUGUUGUCAGUUUAUUAUUCACAUAUGAAUUAGAAUGUCCUGUUAGCAUGUCUAGUACAUGUAUCUUUCGCCCCUCUCUUAUAGUGUUGAUGUAGAUGACCUGAACAUCUUAAGGACAGUCACAUUAAAACAACAAAAUGCUGUCAAGUGUCAUGUCACAGUUGGCAAGAAUUGAUUUUCUAGUUCAUUGACUUUACAGUAAUAAAUCAAAGAAGUGAUCAAGGUUUUAUGUUUUGUAAUUAAAAUUGACUUUAUUGCACUGUUUUGUCAAAAAAAUUCUAACUGGCAAUUUACUGAAAGUUUCUGGUUAGGGUAAAGAACAUGUGAAACAAUUUGAUCUCCGUUAAGGGCUAUGUACUCCUUGCUGAUCUGGGCUCUUCAAAUAUAAGUUCCCUCACAGAUUUAGUAAUAUGUUGAAUGAACAUAGUUUUUUCAUCACACUCUUCUCCAGUGCUGAUAAACAGAAUUACUUCAAUUUUGUUGAGAAACUUGAUGAGUUUUUAUAUCUUAGAGCUUUUCUGAAAUGUCAGAAACCUAAUUUAUCUACUGUAUAUUAUUUUUUUUUCAUUGGAUACCAAUUUUCGUGGUUUUCAUGGGUACAUGUGAACCACAAAAUUUUUUGGAUAGACUUGUAUGAAAAAUUUAGCAAAGCCAAGAAAACAAAUAUCCAGGAAAGUGUACAUUUUCCAAAAUCCAUGAAAAAUGGUACCCACAAAAAUAAAUGAAACUACAGUAUUUAAAAAUUUUGGAAUUACAAGUGGUGUAUGUUAGCAAGAAUAUGAGUGCAACUUUUUGUUAUGUGUUCCAUAUACGAAUUUCAAGGGACAACUCUUCAAAUCAAUUCAAUUGGGAUUAUAUUGCUUGAUAGAAUGCAAACCUGUUAUGUUUUGGUCAAAAUAAACUUUAUUUUAUGCUUGAUUGCCAUAGGUCUAUACUUCAGAAAGGCUUUGUAGUAUAUAACACUGAUAUUUAGUUGUAAUACUUCUCUAACACACAAGUUGAUUCAUUAUGAUGUACAAUGUACAUAUAUAUGUUUGAUUAACUUGUUUGGUGAUAUAAAACAUUCUGUGGUUUCCUAUAUGUUUAAGGUGACCAAUUUUCAUGGAUUGAGGAAAACUUGCACUUAGCUGGAUAAUUGAUUUUGCACUUUAGCAAAAAAUCAAAAUGCAAACUUGAUAAUUUUUUUACUUUUUUGAAUAUUCAAACUAAUGCUUUACCUAUACCCACAAAAAUUGUGAUUCAACAAUAGUAAGAAUCUACAGUAUAUGAUAAAGUGGAGUUCCGAAAAGAAUUUCCACUACUCAUCUUGACAUGACACAAGGGUGAAGGGAACAUUUUAUUCAAUUGCCUUAACCUAUUGAUCUUCCAGUUGAUGUAGACUUACAGCCGAUUGCAUUGAGUGUGUAGCUAAAGGUAAUAUCUUUGGUUAGCUUGCUUGCUAGCUGAACCGUGAAGUCAUUGUUAGGUAAGGUAUACUACCGUCCUUUCGAAGUAGCCUAGUCAUACAGACAGAUAUAUUGGUAACCUGUCGGACUAGUCUUCUCUUAAAGGAGGGUCGUUACCUAACCUAAUAAUGACUUCACAGUUCAGCUAACAAGCAUGAUAACCAAAUAUAUUACCUUUACCUACACACUCAAUGCAAUCGGCUGUAAAUAUUUUGAGGUUCCAGGCCUUCCUUUUAUAAAGAAUGUGUUUCGAGUUCCAAAAACUUUUAAAAUUCCUAAAUUCCUUAAUCAUUCCAUUAAAUUGUGUCUAUAGAUAUAUUUUAUUCUUUGAUAAAUAGAGAUAUCCCUUUAAAACGUACAGUAAUGAAUAUUCUAAUAAAUGAAAUUGGACGAUAUGUUAGAUAGGAGAUGAAAAGAAAAGUGUAUUAUUACGUCUAAUAUACUUACUAAUUCAACACUUUAGGGCUUGAUUUUCCUUUGUGUAUAUAUUUUUUUAUGCCCCAGUAGAGGGGCAUUAUGUUUUCUGGUCUGUGCGUCCGUUCGUCCGUUCGUUCGUCCGUUCGUUCGUCCGUUCGUUCGUCCGUCUGUCCCGCUUCAGGUUAAAGUUUUUGGUCGAGGUAGUUUUUGAUGAAGUUAAAGUCCAAUCGACUUGAAACUUGGUACACAUGUUCCCUAUGAUAUGAUCUUUCUAAUUUUAAUGCCAAAUUAGAGAUUUGACCCCAAUUUCACGGUCCACUGAACAUAGAAAAUGAUAGUGCAAAUUUCAGGUUAAAGUUUUUGGCUUCAGGUUAAAGUUUUUGGUCAAGGUAGUUUUUGAUGAAGUUGAAGUCCAAUCAACUUGAAACUUAGUAUACAUGUGGCCCUAUGAUUGAUCUUUCUAAUUUAAAUGCCAAUUAGAGUUUUGACCCCAAUUUUACGGUUCACUGAACAUAGAAAAUGAUAGUGCAAAUUUCAGGUUAAAGUUUUUGGCUUCAGGUUAAAGUUUUUGGUCAAGGUAGUUUUUGAUGAAGUUGAAGUCCAAUCAACUUGAAACUUAGUAUACAUGUGCCCUAUGAUAUGAUCUUUCUAAUUUAAAUGCCAAAUUAGAGUUUUGACCCCAAUUUUACGGUUCACUGAACAUAGAAAAUGAUAGUGCAAAUUUCAGGUUAAAGUUUUUGGUCAAGGUAGUUUUUGAUAAAGUAGAAGUCCAAUCAACUUGAAACUUAGUAUACAUGUUCCCUUUGAUAAGAUCAUUCUAAUUUUAAUGCCAAAUUAGAGAAUUUAUUCCAAUUUCACAGUCCUUUAAACAUAGAAAAUGAUAGUGUGAGUGGGGCAUCCGUGUACUGUGGACACAUUCUUGUUAUGACAUGAAUGACUUAGAUUAUUUCUUGCCAUUUAGUAAAAAGAUAUAAUAUGAAAUUAAGAAGAGAAAUUAUGAUGACUUAAGCUGUUAAAUUAUGUACUGAAUUGAAGACACACACAUAACUAGAGAAUGGGAGGUGGAUGUUGGCGUAAAUAACCGGCAGCUUGGACCAAUGUCCACCUUUUAGCUCAUUUUGAAGAAGGGGCAGUCAUCAGUGAGAACUCCUCAUCAACAUACAUUAAAGUUUUUAUUAUGCCCCACCUACAAUAGUAGAGGGGCAUAAUGUUUUCUGGUCUGUGCCUCCGUUCGUCCGUCCGGUUAAAGUUUUUGGUCGAGGUAGUUUUUGAUGAAGCUGAAGUCCAAUCAACUUGAAACUUAAUACACAUGUUCCCCUUGAUAUGAUCUUUCUAAUUUUAAUGCCAAAUUAUAGUUUUGACCCCAAUUUCAUGGUCCACUGAACAUAGAAAAUGAUAGUGCAAAGUUCAGGUUAAAGUUUUUGGUCAAGGUAGUUUUUGAUGAAGUUAAAGUUACAUCAACUUGAAACUUAGUACACAUGUUCCCUAUGAUAUGAUCUUUCUAAUUUUAAUUCCAAAUUAAAGUUUUGACCCCAAUUUCACGGUCCACUGAACAUAGAAAAUGAUAGUGGAAGUGGGGCAUCCGUGUACUAUGGACACAUUCUUGUUUGCCUUCCAACAAUAGACAGAAUCCACGCUAUGGACAAAAACAUUGUGCAACAUCAUCAGCUACUGAGUAUGUCAGUUGUUUUACAGUGGAUUCAUUUAUUUUAUUCUAUUUUCAUGGGUACCAAUUAUCAAGGAUAAGAGUAAAUUCUAUUUUUUGUUGAUAAUAGAUUUCAUGCUUUUUAAAAAAGUUUGCAUACAACCCCUUAAUUAUACUUCAGAGAAAAUUUGAAUUUGUGGUUCAUCUGGAUCUAUACUAACAGAAUCCCAAGAAAGUUAGUACCUAACGUAUAAUAAUGAAUUAACAUUAAUUUUUUUCAAUUUUGUGGGGUUAUCUGGUCAUGUUAAUCUUAUAACCUGUCUUUCUUUUAUUUUGUUCUUUUAUGUAGUUUGCUUUGAUAUAUAUAUAAACAGUUAUCAUGGAAACAUGUUUUUCCCAUGUCCCCACCCCCUAAUUCCAAUGUUAUUACAAUUUCACUCACAUCAGAGGUCAGCUAAGCCUAUUUUAGAAAAAUUUAUGUGACAUCUGUUUUUAUAAGAUUUAUAUUUACUGUAAAUAUGACCCCAUAAACUGAUACUAGGAUAAAAUAUAAACUUUUAAGCACUUAAGUUACUGAUUAUCGUAUAUCAGUUGCAUAUUUUUGCUGAGAUAUUCAUUUCGGGACAUUUUUGAGCCAUGAAGAUUGUGGUGAGCGGUGAGUUGAAGUAUUUAUUUCAAAAGUUAUUCAAGACUCUAAAAUCUAAAAUAGUUAAAUUUUAAUUUAGAUAAUUUGAAAUUAUACAUAUGCUGUGUUUUACAUGUAGUUAUAAGUUACGAUUAUGGGAAUAUCAUAAAUUUUUAGAUGAGAUAUAUGUGUGAAAUUUUUCUGUAGUCCUGAGGUAGGGAUCAGGGUUGAGGAGGAAUUUAAAAAAGAUGCCAACUAACCAUAAAAUUUAUGAAUUGGAUUUUAGCAGUCAUAUUUAAUUUGAUAGUUCGAUCAGUCGAGGGUUAAUUUGAAGAAGUUGUAAGAUGCAGAAAAGAAUCAUGAAUACAUGAUUUCUGACAUUUUAAAAAACAAAUUUACUGUUAUUACAAUUUUAAAUUAUUUCUUGUGAUGAGAUACUUUUAAGAAGUUUAGAGAGAUUUAAUAUUGAAAAUUCUUAAUUCGAUUUAAAUUAUCUAAGUAAAGGUAAUUUUGACCUGAAUCACAGUAGCUAUCUGAUUGAGAGAAAACGAACAAUAACUUCUCAAUGUAUAAAUAAACAAACAAAUAGAAAAGCCCGUAUUUAUCUACGAUAAACCUUGUCAGUAUGAGAAAGAUGUGAUAAAUGAAAAAUUAAUGAAAAUCAUUCACGCCACAUUUAACCGAUGUUUGGCCUCAGGCCAGUUAGAUGACACGAGUGCAUGGUCAGAUUUAAUAUGCAAUAGUGUUAUGGCUUGUUUCACAGAUAAUUUGUGAAGAUUCUUUUUAUAAGACAGUGGUGGAUUUUAAAUAUUGUAUUGUUCUUGUGAACGUCUGUGGAAUGUUUAGAGAGAUAAUUACGGGAUAAUAGCUUGGGGUUUAUUAGUCGUAAUGGAGGAUAUAGGUCAUCCUUAUACUUAUAAUGGUAGGUAAAAACAUGACAACAUUCUUUUCUCAUUAGUGAUAAAUUUAAAAUGUGGACUUUGCUUUUGAAUAAAGGAUAAUUUUUACCUUGACGUAUUUUCUUACGCAUAAAUCUGCUACUUGCAAAGAGAAUUUAAAAGUCUUCAAUCUUGAUUUAAGAAAUUCAUAGCGAUUUAAUUUAAAUUUGUUUUUCUGCUAAAUUCAUGUAUUCAGACCAAAGACUUUUUUGGGGGAGAAAAUUAGAAAGAAAAUGCAUUGUGUACAUCUCAAAAUAAGUUUGAAUUUUACUUUGCAAAAUAUUUUAGUGAUGUAGAGUGGACUUAAAAAAGAAGCAUACUUUCAACAUUUAUUUUGUUUACAAUGGUUAAUGUCUGAGGUUAACCAAGGCAAUUUGUUUUAUAUGUAAAUUCAAGUUUCUUCAGUAGAUCUUUCCCUAAAAUUAAUAUUUGUAAAAAAUUAUCGGUAUUGCUUGUCAGAAGAAAAAGUUCAGUUGGAAAAUGUUCAAUAAAAUUAGUAGAAAAGCAAGGAUAUUAUAUGUAAAUAAUUCAAUUAUUAGUUAUCUGAUUAUGGUAUAAUAUUAUUCAUUCUGGUUUUUUCUUUAAUCUAUGUAUGAUUCAUUAAACAUGAUAAACAUGACUGUUACUUUUGUUUUAGUCUAUGAUCUCAUUCUGUUUAUUAAGUGAAGGUGUAGUUGAGGUCAGACUAUUGUCUUCGUUAAAGCUUGCUUCUAGCAUUUCCAUAUAUGACAAGGUUGAGUCUAUUUCUGUAUCCACAAUUCUUCCUAAAUAAGCAUGAUUCAGACUUCAUUUUCCUAAUCUGUGGCAGAGUUGAACUUCUGACCACGGAAGUAUUGACCGGCUUCAAGCAACAAUUAUUGACCAACUAAUCUGAAUUCCUGGUAGAAUUCAAAUUACAAGCGAAGCCGAAAAUGAGACUUUAUAAAUAAAUAAAAGUGUUUCUGCUUGUCAAGUGCUUGUUUCUGUCAAUAAAAAAUAUCACACACAAAAUCAAUUUCAUUAACUGGUUGUAGAUUUCAUAUUUGUUUUGUUUAAAGUUUACUAGUGCAUGGGUGACACCUUGUGAACAAUUGUCUUUUGUCUUUGUGCAUCCAUAUUGCAUUUCCAAAUGACAUAAUCUUACCUGUCGUGUGUAGGAAUAUUUAAGUGCAAAAGCAAAAAGAAAAAAAUGAAUGAAAGGAAAUAGUUUACAUUCUUCUAUUUAAUUAGUUAGUGUCUAAUUGGAAAUGAACAGGUUUAAAUCAAUUUAAAUUUUGGAGAACUUUUAAUUUUGUAAUAUAGUCUUGAGUAAGUUGAGUUUAAGGUAAACAUAUCCCCCACCUGCAAACAUAUAAAGAUUGCUGUUAGUAAAAGGCAAACUGAUCUUUAAAAAUAUUUUUAAAAUAGUUUGGACAUAUGUUGGUGGUGACUAAAGUCAUUUUAAUUCCUGAGCUUACAACCUUGCAGAGCAAGAUUCAUUGAACAAGUUGUAAAAUAAUGAAGAUGUUAUUAUCAAUUUUCAGUCUGACAGACCUUUUUGUAAAUAAUCAUUAUAAAAAUUCACUAUCAAAAUCUCUUAAUUCAAAUUUAAUCUUUUUUUUGGUGGAUAAUUUUGUUUAGUACAGUAAAUUUUAUAGUUGUGGGAACCUAAUUACAUACACAUAGUUUACGAUCUUAAAAUUCAGGUUUUAUUGAACUGGUAUUAAUUUUGUGACCAUUAUCGUAAUACCACAUGAUAUUGACAAUUGUGAGGUCUCUGAUUUAUAGUGUGCUGAUGACAAGGGGGAAAUUAUACCCUUAGUACAGAUAAUAGGAAAAUGAGGUGCAAAUUGAUACUUCAAGACCAAACUUAACAUGGACUUGUUGAUAUUAAAGGGGAUGUGUUAGUGUUGAAUGAAAUAAUACCAAUUAAUAGAAGAGACAGGGGAGAAAUCUUAUAAUACAUGUAUACAGCCUUAUCCAGGUUAACUGUCAGCAUACAAGUAGACUUGGCAUUUACUUUAUUUAAUUGUAGAUGAAUACAUUUACUAUUUUUACUAAAUUAUCUGAAAAGAGUAUUAACGGGUAGAUAGUUUCAAUGUUGCCACACUGCAGGCAGUGUGGCAAGUUGGCUAUUUUAUAUGACCAACCUCUCUCAUGGUUAUCAACCCAGAGCAUUCAAACUUUUUUAUAUACAUGGAGAAUGUUGUCUCAUUCUUAGUACACUUUUCAAGGAUUUUGGGAUAUUUUCAAAAUGCAAUAUUCUUACAGGAUAGCUAUCCAUUUUGUGUAAGCAACACCUAAUUUUAAACCCUGAGCUUUCCAAACAUUUCAGAAAUUUUGCAUUACUUUUUGUUACAGAACAUUUUCUGUAUUAGCUAAUCAAUGUCUCCUAGGGUACUAUCUUUUCCUCUGUUGUUCAAAGUGUAGAAUCAUCUUUCUCCACAAGCUUUCAAUAAAUGCUCCCCUUUAUAUCAGCAUCAGAAAAAAGGGCUAAGUAAAAUACAUUAUACAGAAAGUUACAAAUCAAUGCUAUAUCAAUGGAAAGUCACUUGCAGGAGAAUGGCCCAUUGAGAAUGAAAAACUGCUUUAAAUCUAUAUGUACUUAAAAAUUAGGAGAAGAUGGGUAUGCUUCUGAAUGGGAAUUUUAUGGAUAUUCAAGAGAAGAAUAUAUUGUUUUAUAAAGUUUAAAUGAUUUUAACUGUUUUAAAGAGUGUAAACGAUGUAUCAAGUUUAGAAUCAUUACAAAUCAGAUAAAAUAGUUUAAUCACCCAAAGGCUAUAGAGAUGACCAGAUAUAUGUAUUGUUAUUGACAAAUAACAUACAUAAAGUUUAUUUUGAUCAUGUAAAUAGACCUUCCUUCUUUUCUAUAUAAUAAUAUUGGAGUUGAUUUAAAUAGUGCUGUUCUGUUUGCAAGGUUAAAUUAUACUAUAAUACAUGUAUUUGCAGAUUUCUGUUCUGUUCUAGAAACUUGCAAGUGCAAAUAUAUUCUAAGAUCAUGAAGAUAGAAAAUGAGAGAAAAGUAAUAUAUAAGAACACCAUGUAUAACGAUGGUUAACAUAGAAAUUUUCUUACAAUAUUGCUCUUGUGCAAUACUAUCGAAUAUUGUAAUUUUUAUCAGAAGAAUGUUAUUUAUUGAAAUUUGGGAAAAAAAUCACCAUUUUCCCGACUUAUUGAAACUUGCAUUACUCACAGUUUACCUACAAGAAUAAAGCCUACUCCUAGGAUAAAAGUGGAUGAUGAUGAUGAUGAUGAUGAUGAUGGGGGUUAUUAAAGACCUUGACUGGUUAUAAAGCCCUUGCAUGGUCCUUUCCAAGUAAAAUAGUGAAAGCAAUUAUGCUGUGUUUUAUAUGAAGGUCAAUUGAGAUGGAAUCUUUCAAUUAACUCUUCUGUUUUCUUCUUCCACCUUUCAUCAUAACUUAAAUUAUCUUUAAGAAAUCCUUGGUGAAACACUUGUUUAUAUUGCAUGGUCAAGAAUUUAAGUCAUAAGAGGAACACAUGAAUAUGAUGAAGGGAAAUAAAACUAGACAUCAAAACAUUGAAGAGUGUCAAAAUUUACCAAACGAUAGUGUACAGAAGAAGUUUUGAAAUAUAUAAACUAAACGUGUACUCUUGUUCAUUAUUGCAUGAGAGAGCUUACAAGACAUUUCAUAUGAAAAUAUCAAAUACAGACUUAAUAUAAAUUUUAUAAUUUAAUUGAAAAAGUUUUAAAUUUGAUGGGUAAAGAAAUGAACUGCCUUUCUCUUGUAUUUUAAUGCUAUGAUUGUUUAAUUGCAUGUCAUGAAAAAAUUGCUUCUUCAUGUGUAUGAACAAGUGCAUGUUUCCUAUGUCUAUUUUCUUGAUACAAUUUAAGAAUCAUGAUGUGCAUAGGCCAAUAAAACUUGUUAAGGAAUAAAGAAAGCUAAAUGUUGCAUAUAGAGUAAUUAAAAAUUAGGGAAUAAGGUGAAUGUUGCAGAAGUUAUUUUGCCAUUAGUUAUUUACUAUUCAUAUGUAAAUAGUACAUGUUUUUACCCAAGGGCACAGACCAAGAAUUUUGUUUAUUUACAAAAUAUAAAUGUUGACAUUACACAGGUAUUCCAUUUUACCUGGAUAAGAACCAGGUUUGGGACGGGGCCUGAUGAAAGGGGAAACAUGUGUAAGAUUUCCUUAGAAUAAAUAGGUAGCUUUUCCUAAUUAUAUAGGUUACGAUAGUAUACAACUGACCAUUUACGAUUAGAGAUUUAAAUGGGGAUUUAAGCCUGAAAGAUAUCUACAAAGAUAAAAGUUUAAAUAUUGCAUGGGAGGAAUAUAUUUAAAUGGAUGUACUAUUAAAGUGUUAUCAGAACUUUAGAGGUCAUUCCCUAUUUCACUUUAUAUUUAUUUUAGUAGUUGAAGUAUUUUACAGCAAGAAAACAUUGUAUAGUAACCCCAGAGUGACUUGAUUAAGUGUGAAUAAUCACCCUACAUGCUUUUAAAAGCUUUUUGUAAAAAAAAAACUUUUGUUCUGUUCAUCAAUUAAUUAUAUUCAUCAUAGUCCCGGAGGAAUGGCGUUAUUUAUUUCAUUAUGUCUCAGCAUUAUGUAUCCCAUAUCACCUCUGUAUAUUUUUAUUUCCUACAUAUUUCCCCCCUCAGCAGCACUAUCAGAAUUUGUAGUGUAGUUUGAAUUUAUAGUCAGUUCAGACAAUCAUGUACAAAGGUUACCAUAUAUAGACUGUUGUGAUUUCAUAAUUACAUGUAUUUGAAAUAUUCCUCGACACAUGCCAACAUUUUGUAAUAGCCAUGUUGUUUUCAGGUGAAUAUGUUUUGUUUUGCUUAUGGUAAUGUGUGACUUUUAUCAAAAAUCACAGUGUUUGAUAUAUCUCUUGUAUCGUCUCACCAUUCUUACAAGGAAUAUUUUUUAUGUACUGUGGAAUAAUCUAUUUUCGUGGGUAUCAAUUUUCAUGGAUUGCUGAAAACUUGCAUAUUUGUGGAUAUUUUAUUUCAUGGCUUUGCCAAUCUCUGUACAAAGCUUAUUGAAAAUAUGUUAUUCAUUGGACAUUUGAAUUUUUGGUUCACCUGUACCCACGAAACCCAAGACAAUUGGUAUCCAAUGAUUGAUAAUGAAUCCACAGUACAUAGUUAUAGAUGCUUUAAAAAUGAUAAUUGAAUUGAGGCUGAUUACUAACGUUUUCUUUGUUUAUUUUCAGGUCGUUACAAUGAGAAUGAUGCCCCAGACCUUCUGACAGUCAUUGACUCACUCAGUCAUCCAGAUGACAAUGUUAAAGCCAAUGCUGCAGCCUAUCUCCAACACAUAUGUUUCCAUAAUGAGGAUAACAAAGCUAAAACAAGGUAUUUUAUAUGCUUAACUAUUGUUAUAAGAAAAUUUUCAAUGAAGGAUUUAAAAGAAAGAUUUGUAUAUGGAAAUGGAAGAAAUUCAUCAGAUUUUUAGGGUAUCAUUUAUAUAUAAUAUAAUUUAUGCAGAGGAAAAGGUGCUAUAUUAGAACUUGGGUAAUUAUAAAUAUAAAAACACAUCUUUCUAAAAAAUUUUACUGGUUUGUAAAUUUUUAUGUGAGACAUUUUAGUACCACUGACCAGAUUUCAGCUCCCUCCCUUUUCUGUUGUUUGUGUUUUUUUUUGUAUGUUGUUCACUGAAAUAACUGUUCUCAUUAUAGGGGGAUGAAUGGUAUCCCACCAUUGGUAGAAUUACUGAGGAAUGAUUACCCAGAAGUUCAGAAGAAUGCCCUGGGAGCAUUGAAAAAUAUGUCAUAUGGUGGAAAGACAGAAAAUAAAGUAAGAGGCUAACUCCAGCAAGCCACAUAAAGUCAGUUUAUCUGUUUUUGUGGACCUAAUCUUGAGCAGAUUUAUAUUUAUCAUCGUGAAUUUGAAACAUUAAGACUUAUGAAGCACUGUUCAAAAUGAAAUGGAUAAACCCUUAACAACUAGCUGUAUGAUUUUAACACCAUUGGUGAAAUGAAAUAUAUAAAUGAGCAAAAAAACUACAAACAGUU